GACGAACGCUGGCGGCGUGCUUAACACAUGCGAGUCGAACGGAAAGGCCCUGCUUUUGUGGGGUGCUCGAGUGGCGAACGGGUGAGUAACACGUGAGUAACCUGCCCUUGACUUUGGGAUAACUUCAGGAAACUGGGGCUAAUACCGGAUAGGAGCUCCUGCUGCAUGGUGGGGGUUGGAAAGUUUCGGCGGUUGGGGAUGGACUCGCGGCUUAUCAGCUUGUUGGUGGGGUAGUGGCUUACCAAGGCUUUGACGGGUAGCCGGCCUGAGAGGGUGACCGGCCACAUUGGGACUGAGAUACGGCCCAGACUCCUACGGGAGGCAGCAGUGGGGAUUAUUGCACAAUGGGCGGAAGCCUGAUGCAGCAACGCCGCGUGCGGGAUGACGGCCUUCGGGUUGUAAACCGCUUUCGCCUGUGACGAAGCGUGAGUGACGGUAAUGGGUAAAGAAGCACCGGCUAACUACGUG
rnacentral:rRNA from 1 species